rnacentral:rRNA from 1 species
GACGAACGCUGGCGGCGUGCUUAACACAUGCAAGUGGAGCGACGAACCGGGCUUCGGCCCGGGGCAAAGCCGCGAACGGGUGAGUAUCACGUGGGUAACCUGCCCAGAUGACCGGGACAACCCGAGGAAACUCGGGCUAAUACCGGAUGUGCUCUCAAUCCACCAGGGUUGAGAACAAAGGAAGCUUCGGCCUCCGCAUUGGGAUGGACCCGCGGCCCAUUAGCUUGUUGGUGAGGUAAAGGCUCACCAAGGCGACGAUGGGUAGCUGGUCUGAGAGGACGAUCAGCCACACUGGGACUGAGACACGGCCCAGACUCCUACGGGAGGCAGCAGUGGGGAAUCUUGCGCAAUGCGCGAAAGCGUGACGCAGCAACGCCGCGUGAGGGAAGAAGGCCUUCGGGUUGUAAACCUCUUUCAGGAGGGACGAAGGUUCAGGCGCGAAUAGCGUCCUGGACUGACGGUACCUCCAGAAGAAGCCCCGGCUAACUACGUGCCAGCCGCCGCAGUAAUAC